rnacentral:rRNA from 1 species
GAUGAACGCUAGCUACAGGCUUAACACAUGCAAGUCGAGGGGAAACGACAUCGAAAGCUUGCUUUUGAUGGGCGUCGACCGGCGCACGGGUGAGUAACGCGUAUCCAACCUGCCCAUCACUUGGGAAUAACCUUGCGAAAGUAAGACUAAUACCCAAUGACAUCCCACGAAGACAUCUGAAUGGGAUUAAAGAUUUAUCGGUGAUGGAUGGGGAUGCGUCUGAUUAGCUUGUUGGCGGGGUAACGGCCCACCAAGGCAACGAUCAGUAGGGGUUCUGAGAGGAAGGUCCCCCACAUUGGAACUGAGACACGGUCCAAACUCCUACGGGAGGCAGCAGUGAGGAAUAGUGGUCAAUGGGCGAGAGCCUGAACCAGCCAAGUAGCGUGCAGGAUGACGGCCCUAUGGGUUGUAAACUGCUUUUAUAAGGGAAUAAAGUGGGUCUCGUGAGACUUUUUGCAUGUACCUUAUGAAUAAGAACCGGCUAAUUCCGUG